UACGGAGGGGGCUAGCGUUGUUCGGAAUUACUGGGCGUAAAGCGCGCGUAGGCGGAUCUGCAAGUCGGGGGUGAAAUCCCGAGGCUCAACCUCGGAAGUGCGCUCGAAAACGGCGAGGCUGGAGUGCCGGAGGGGAGAGUGGAAUUCCCGGUGUAGCGGUGAAAUGCGUAGAGAUCGGGAGGAAUACCGGUGGCGAAAGCGACUCUCUGGACGGCAACUGACGCUGAGGCACGAAAGCGUGGGGAAGCAAACAGGG
rnacentral:rRNA from 1 species